UUAGAGAUUUGAAAAAAGAUAAAAAUGAAUGAUACUUGAGAAAAAUUGGAAUAAAAUGAUUAUACGAUAACAAUUGAGAAACUUAAUUACAAAAUCUUUUUUAUUAUCAUAAAAUAUAUUUAAACUCAUGAUAAAAUGAAAUAAUUAAACAACAAUUAAAACAUUAAUUACGAAAUCUUAGUUGUUAUUAAUUAUAAUAACAAUCAUAAAUUAUAUUUAUCAUAUCAAUGUAUAGAUAAAUAUUUAUAUAGAUUUUUAAUGGGUGGAGUUUGAUUAGAUGUGAAAAUUAAUUAGAGAUUUGGAAAAAAAAUAAAAAUAAAUAAAAUGAUUAUAUGAUAAUUGAAAAUUCAAGAAAAUUGGUAUAGGCGCAGCGUCAUUUUAGCGUCCGAAGUGAAGUCCAAUUCAGCAGUAGUCACAUGUCUUUCUCAAUGUAAAGUAUUAACGUAUCAACAUAUUACUAAACAAUAAUUUAAUGAACAUGCAUCUGCCAUCAUUUUUAUGAUUUCAUUUAUUUAUACUCACUUUUGUUCCAAGCCGUUGAGAUGGGCAAAUUAAGAUGUGUAGCAUAGUUUGAAUUUGUGAAUUACACUUGGCCUGCAAGAUAUUAUAGGUGUCAGAAAAUAUUAAGUUACAAAUUUAUUGAAUCAAGGGAUGGAGGUUCUUACCAUGAGACGAAGAACAGAUCCGAACUUGUAGAUCAUAAUUCCCAUAAUCUUCCUGCUGCUCCUCCUGUAUGCGUUUUGCUGAUUCAAUGAGGGGACAUGCUGCAACCAUCCACCUCUAUAAGUUGAAGUGUUGGUAUA
rnacentral:lncRNA from 1 species